UUCCGGAUGGAUGUGCUG
rnacentral:misc_RNA from 1 species